GAUGAACGCUGGCGGCGUGCCUAAUACAUGCAAGUCGAGCGAACAGACGAGGAGCUUGCUCCUCUGACGUUAGCGGCGGACGGGUGAGUAACACGUGGAUAACCUACCUAUAAGACUGGGAUAACUUCGGGAAACCGGAGCUAAUCCCGGAUAAUAUAUUGAACCGCAUGGUUCAAUAGUGAAAGACGGUUUUGGUGGCACUAAUGGAUGGAUCCGCGCCUCAUUAGCUAGUUGGUGGGGUAACGGCGUACCAAGGCAACGAUGGGUAGCCGGCCUGAGAGGGUGACCGGCCAGAUUGGGACUGAGAUACGGCCCAGACUGCUACGGGAGGCAGAAGUGGGGAAUAUUGCACAAUGGGCGGAAGCCUGAGGCAGCAACGCCGCGUGCGGGAUGACGGCCUUCGGGUUGUAAACCGCUUUCGCCUGUGACGAAGCGUGAGUGACGGUAAUGGGUAAAGAAGCACCGGCUAACUACGUG
rnacentral:rRNA from 1 species